GUCGGUGUAGCUCAGUGGAUAGAGCAUUUCUCUCCUAAAGAAAGGGUCGUGGGUUCGACUCCCACCACCGACGCUA
rnacentral:tRNA from 1 species